UACGUAGGGGGCAAGCGUUGUCCGGAUUUAUUGGGCGUAAAGAGCGUGUAGGCGGCCAAGCAGGUCCGCUGUGAAAACUCGAGGCUCAACCUCGAGAGGUCGGUGGAAACCGUUUGGCUAGAGUCCGGAAGAGGAGAGUGGAAUUCCCGGUGUAGCGGUGAAAUGCGCAGAUAUCGGGAAGAACACCCGUGGCGAAGGCGGCUCACUGGCCCGAUACUGACGCUGAGGCACGAAAGCGUGGGGAGCAAACAGG
rnacentral:rRNA from 1 species